GACGAACCGAGCGAACGUUGUUCGGAAUCACUGGGCUUAAAGGGCGCGUAGGCGGGUGCUCAAGUCCGUGGUGAAAUCCUCCGGCUCAACCGGAGAACUGCCUCGGAUACUGGGUGCCUCGAGGGUGGUAGGGGUAUGCGGAACUAUCGGUGGAGCGGUGAAAUGCGUUGAUAUCUGGAGGAACACCGGUGGCGAAGGCGGCAUCCUGGACCAAUUCUGACGCUGAGUGAGCGAAAGCCAGGGGAGCAAACGGG
rnacentral:rRNA from 1 species